rnacentral:rRNA from 1 species
GAUGAACGCUGGCGGCGUGCCUAAUACAUGCAAGUCGAGCGAACGGACGAGAAGCUUGCUUCUCUGAUGUUAGCGGCGGACGGGUGAGUAACACGUGGAUAACCUACCUAUAAGACUGGGAUAACUUCGGGAAACCGGAGCUAAUACCGGAUAAUAUUUUGAACCGCAUGGUUCAAAAGUGAAAGACGGUCUUGCUGUCACUUAUAGAUGGAUCCGCGCUGCAUUAGCUAGUUGGUAAGGUAACGGCUUACCAAGGCAACGAUGCAUAGCCGACCUGAGAGGGUGAUCGGCCGCACUAGAAGUGAGCCAGGGUCCAGACUCCUACGGGAGGCAGCAGUAGGGAAUCUUCCGCAAUGGGCGAAAGCCUGACGGAGCAACGCCGCGUGAGUGAUGAAGGUCUUCGGAGCGUAAAACUCUGUUAUUAGGGAAGAACAUAUGUGUAAGUAACUGUGCACAUCUUGACGGUACCUAAUCAGAAAGCCACGGCUAACUACGUG